rnacentral:misc_RNA from 1 species
AUCGAUGAGGUUUCGGAUUUACUUGCUCAGAUGCAGAUAUAUGGAUUAGAAUUAGAUGUUGUCUUUUACAGUAAUUGGAUUUAUGGGUAUUUUAGAGAAGGAGCAAUUGAAGAGGCACUGUGCAGACACAGUGAGAUGGUGUGUAGGAGAAUUGAGUUAGAUACAAUAAGCUAUACAAUACUUAUUGAUGGGUUUUCAAAGGAGGGGCAUGUGGAGAAAGCAGUUGGUUUCCUAUACGCAAUGAGAAAACGUGGUCUGCAACCUAAUUUGG